rnacentral:tRNA from 1 species
GCGGGCGUGGCGGAACUGGCAGACGCACCGGAUUUAGGUUCCGGCGCCGCAAGGUGUGGGGGUUCAAAUCCCUUCGCCCGCACCA